rnacentral:rRNA from 1 species
UACGUAGGUGACAAGCGUUGUCCGGAUUUACUGGGCGUAAAGAGCGCGCAGGCGGUCGUUCAAGUCGAGUGUGAAAGCCCCCGGCUCAACUGGGGAGGGUCACUCGAUACUGAUCGACUCGAAGGCAGGAGAGGGAAGUGGAAUUCCCGGGUGUAGUGGUGAAAUGCGUAGAUAUCGGGAGGAACACCAGUGGCGAAGGCGACUUCCUGGCCUGUUCUUGACGCUGAGGCGCGAAAGCUAGGGGAGCAAACGGG